CAGCACCUCAAGUGGUCAGGAUGAUUAUUGGGCCUAAAGCAUCCGUAGCCGGCGCUGUAAGUUUUCGGUUAAAUCUGUACGCUCAACGUACAGGCUGCCGGGAAUACUGCAGCGCUAGGGAGUGGGAGAGGUAGACGGUACUCGGUAGGAAGGGGUAAAAUCCUUUGAUCUAUUGAUGACCACCUGUGGCGAAGGCGGUCUACCAGAACAUGUCCGACGGUGAGGGAUGAAAGCUGGGGGAGCAAACCGGAUUAGAGACCCGAGUAGUCU
rnacentral:rRNA from 1 species